CUACGUGCCAGCAGCCGCGGUAAUACGGAGGAUGCGAGCGUUAUCCGGAUUUAUUGGGUUUAAAGGGUGCGUAGGCGGCCUGUUAAGUCAGCGGUGAAAUCUAGGAGCUUAACUCCUAAAUUGCCAUUGAUACUGGCGGGCUUGAGUGUAGAUGAGGUAGGCGGAAUGCGUGGUGUAGCGGUGGAAUGCAUAGAUAUCACGCAGAACUCCGAUUGCGAAGGCAGCUUACUAAGGUACAACUGACGCUGAAGCACGAAAGCGUGGGUAUCAAACAGGAUUAGAUACCCUGGUAGUCCACGCUGUAAACGAUGAUAACUGGGCGUAUGCGAUAUACAGUAUGCUCCUAAGCGAAAGCGUUAAGUUAUCCACCUGGGGAGUACGCCGGCAACGGUAAAACUCAAAGGAAUUGACGGGGGCCCGCACAAGCGGAGGAACAUGUGGUUUAAUUCGAUGAUACGCGAGGAACCUUACCCGGGAUUGAA
rnacentral:rRNA from 1 species